UUCAAUGAAUUUGAUUGUGAAGGUGUCGAGGGUAGUCAGAGAUAUUCUAAUACCUCAAAACAUCCAUGUUGCACUUGUAGUACCAAAACUCUGUCCAGCCAGAAGUGAGCCCAUUCCCACUUAUAAUGGACAGUGGGUAUAAUACACCUUAACACCUGAAUGCGAACCACUCAACAUGAUGAACUUAAAUUAAUAGAUGUUAUUUAUAUAUUUUGG